CCAAUAGCGUAUAUUAAAGUUGUUGCAGUUAAAAAGCUCGUAGUUGAAUUUCGGGAUCAGUACGUUGGUCGUGCCUUGGUAUGUACUGGUGUCACUGAUUCCUCCCUUCUGACGAACCGUCAUGCCAUUCACUUGGUGUGGCGGGAAAUCAGGACUGUUACUUUGAAAAAAUUAGAGUGUUUAAAGCAGGCUCGCGCUUGAAUACAUUAGCAUGGAAUAAUGAAAUAGGACGUUAAUCCUAUUUUGUUGGUUUCUAGGAUCGACGUAAUGAUUAAUAGGGAUAGUUGGGGGCAUUAGUAUUCAAUUGUCAGAGGUGAAAUUCUUGGAUUUAUUGAAGGCUAACUACUGCGAAAGCAUUUGCCAAGGAUGUUUUCAUUAAUCAAGAACGAAAGUUAGGGGAUCGAAGACGAUCAGAUACCGUCGUAGUCUUAACCAUAAACUAUGCCGACUAGGGAUCGGAUGAUGUUAAUUUUUUAAUGACUCAUUCGGCGCCUUACA
rnacentral:rRNA from 1 species